AUACGGAGGGUGCGAGCGUUAAUCGGAAUUACUGGGCGUAAAGCGCGCGUAGGCGGUUUGUUAAGUCAGCUGUGAAAGCCCCGGGCUCAACCUGGGAACUGCAGUUGAUACUGGCCGACUAGAGUACGAGAGAGGGGGGUAGAAUUCCUGGUGUAGCGGUGAAAUGCGUAGAUAUCAGGAGGAAUACCAGUGGCGAAGGCGGCCCCCUGGAUCAAUACUGACGCUGAGGUACGAAAGCGUGGGGAGCGAACAGGAUUAGAAACCCUAGUAGUCC
rnacentral:rRNA from 1 species